UGCAGGGAUCUGUCUUUCCCUUUUUCCCUGUCUUUGUGGGAAAAGAUUUUUAUAAGGCAGACUACUAGGACAUUAAGGAUUUUAUGUGGGACCUUUGUUCUUUGCCUUGUCCUUUGUUGAAGUAUUUGACAGCAAAUCCCAGAAGACAUGUCAUUUUACCCUAUGUACUCAAGUAGGCAUGUCUGAAAAAUGAGGGUCUUUCCUUUGAUCAGGUUUUUCCAUUUGACCCAUGUGCUCGUUAAGUACCAGCUGUAUCAGGCUUCUCACUAGGCAUUAGGGAUCCUUGGGGCAAUGAGACAGUCCUGGCCACCAAGGAAGUUAAGGGCUGAUGGAAGAAACCAACACAGGAGCUUAGGUGCCUCACCUAAGGUCCCUGCGGGAUGACACCAAUUGGA